UAAUACGAAGGGGGCUAGCGUUGCUCGGAAUCACUGGGCUUAAAGGGUGCGUAGGCGGCGCGGAAAGUUGGGUGUGAAAUCCCUCGGCUCAACCGAGGAACUGCGCCCAAAACUACCGUGCUCGAGGGAGAUAGAGGUGAGCGGAACUUAGGGUGGAGCGGUGAAAUGCGUUGAUAUCCUAAGGAACACCGGUGGCGAAAGCGGCUCACUGGAUCUCUUCUGACGCUGAGGCACGAAAGCUAGGGUAGCGAACGGGAUUAGAUACCCCGGUAGUCCUAGCCGUAAACGAUGAGCACUGGAUUGGAGGGUCCUCCAUAGCCUUCCAGUCGCAACGAAAGCGUUAAGUGCUCCGCCUGGGGAGUAUGGUCGCAAGGCUG
rnacentral:rRNA from 1 species